rnacentral:rRNA from 1 species
AUUGAACGCUGGCGGCAGGCCUAACACAUGCAAGUCGAACGGUAACAGGAAGAAGCUUGCUUCUUUGCUGACGAGUGGCGGACGGGUGAGUAAUGUCUGGGAAACUGCCUGAUGGAGGGGGAUAACUACUGGAAACGGUAGCUAAUACCGCAUAACGUCGCAAGACCAAAGAGGGGGACCUUCGGGCCUCUUGCCAUCGGAUGUGCCCAGAUGGGAUUAGCUAGUAGGUGGGGUAACGGCUCACCUAGGCGACGAUCCCUAGCUGGUCUGAGAGGAUGACCAGCCACACUGGAACUGAGACACGGUCCAGACUCCUACGGGAGGCAGCAGUGGGGAAUAUUGCACAAUGGGCGCAAGCCUGAUGCAGCCAUGCCGCGUGUAUGAAGAAGGCCUUCGGGUUGAAAAGUACUUUCAGCGGGGAGGAAGGGAGUAAAGUUAAUACCUUGUCUCAUUGACGUUACCCGCAGAAGAAGCACCGGCUAACUCCGUG